CCUACGGGGGGCAGCAGUGAGGAAUAUUGGUCAAUGGACGAGAGUCUGAACCAGCCAAGUAGCGUGAAGGAUGACUGCCCUAUGGGUUGUAAACUUCUUUUAUAUGGGAAUAAAAUGUUCCACGUGUGGGAUUUUGUAUGUACCAUAUGAAUAAGGAUUGGCUAACUCCGUGCCAGCAGCCGCGGUAAUACGGAGGAUCCGAGCGUUAUCCGGAUUUAUUGGGUUUAAAGGGAGCGUAGGUGGAUUGUUAAGUCAGUUGUGAAAGUUUGCGGCUCAACCGUAAAAUUGCAGUUGAAACUGGCAGUCUUGAGUACAGUAGAGGUGGGCGGAAUUCGUGGUGUAGCGGUGAAAUGCUUAGAUAUCACGAAGAACUCCGAUGGCGAAGGCAGUUCACUGGACUGCAACUGACACUGAGGCUCGAAAGUGUGGGUAUCAAACAGGAUUAGAUACCCCAGUAGUC
rnacentral:rRNA from 1 species